rnacentral:rRNA from 1 species
ACUAAACAUAAUAUCACCCUGAACAUGCCUAAUCUCAUCUGAUCUAGAAAGCUCAGCAGGGUUGGCCUGGUUGGUACUUGGAUGGGAGAACCCUCUUUUAUAUGUAGAAGUU